rnacentral:ncRNA from 10 species
UUUAUACAUCAGGAAGGUCUAUAUGACCUGCCAACCGACUCUGGGUGAGCACGGUGGUUUGAAUCCUUAAACGGUAGAUGUGCCUUGAAAAAGGAAACCUAGAAGCCACC